rnacentral:lncRNA from 1 species
ACAGGUCUAGGAGAAGGAGUACCGCGGGAGGACUCCUUAGUGGGCGCCUCCUCAUCUCACCCCUCCUCUUCGCCUGCCACCUCCUCCGAGCGGCGAGAGGAAGGAGCUGCGCCCCCGGUCUGAUCACGCGACACCAUGCUCGCACCUCGACCAUGGCUCCUCUCCCCCUUCAGAGCCUUCUCUGGAGGUUGGGGCAUUCUGGAGUCGCCACGCCCCUAAUGGCGAGGAUCCGAUUCACUCGCGAGCCCAACACCAGCGAGGCCUAGGCGUUGU